AGUGAACACAAACAUGCCUAUGAAAUUCAUCUUUGUAGAAAAGUCAGCACAUACUUCAACUUUUGAAGCAAGAGAGAAAAAGACUGAGGAGACCCUUUUAUAUAUAAAAGGAGGAAGAGAGUCUGGAUCUGGGGCUGAUAGACAGCCUGUUGAAGCACAACUGAAUCUGGAUAAUUUGAAGAUAAAAUGGACAAAGAUCAUAUCCAGGCAAAGAAGAGCAACUGCACUUCAUUUUCCCUGGAGACAUACAUCUGUAUAUGAACAUUCCUCACACA
ensembl:lncRNA